rnacentral:rRNA from 1 species
AACGAACGCUGGCGGCAUGCCUAACACAUGCAAGUCGAACGAGACCUUCGGGUCUAGUGGCGCACGGGUGCGUAACGCGUGGUAACCUGCCCUUAGGUUCGGAAUAACUCCCCGAAAGGUGUGCUAAUACCGGAUAAUGUCUUCGGACCAAAGAUUUAUCGCCUUUGGAUGGGCCCGCGUUGGAUUAGCUAGUUGGUAGGGUAAAAGCCUACCAAGGCGACGAUCCAUAGCUGGUCUGAGAGGAUGAUCAGCCACACUGGGACUGAGACACGGCCCAGACUCGUACGGGAGGGAGCAGUGGGGAAUAUUGGAGGAUGGGCGAAAGCGUGAUCCAGCAACGCCGCGUGAGAGAUGAAGGCCUUAGGGUUGUAAAGCUCUUUUACCCGGGAUGAUAAUGACAGUACCGGGAGAAGAAGCUCCGGCUAACUCCGUG